UACGUAGGGUGCGAGCGUUGUCCGGAGUUACUGGGCGUAAAGCGCACGCAGGCGGUCUGCUAAGUUUGGAGUGACAGUUGGUGGCUUAACUGCCAAAGUGCUUUGAAAACUGACAGACUUGAGGGCUUCAGAGGGACACGGAAUUCCGGGUGGAGUGGUGAAAUGCGUAGAGAUCCGGAGGAACACCAAAGGCGAAGGCAGUGUCCUGGGGAGUACCUGACGCUCAGGUGCGAAAGCCAGGGGAGCGAACGGG
rnacentral:rRNA from 1 species